CCUACGGGAGGCUGCAGUGAGGAAUAUUGGUCAAUGGGCGCUAGCCUGAACCAGCCAAGUAGCGUGCAGGAUGACUGCCCUAUGGGUUGUAAACUUCUUUUAUAUGGGAAUAAAGUGCAGUAUGUAUACUGCUUUGCAUGUACCGUAUGAAUAAGGAUCGGCUAACUCCGUGCCAGCAGCCGCGGUAAUACGGAGGAUCCGAGCGUUAUCCGGAUUUAUUGGGUUUAAAGGGAGCGUAGGCGGGUUGUUAAGUCAGUUGUGAAAGUUUGCGGCUCAACCUGAAAAUUGCAGUUGAUACUGGCAGCCUUGAGUACAGUAGAGGUAGGCGGAAUUCGUGGUGUAGCGGUGAAAUGCUUAGAGAUCACGCAGAACUCCGAUUGCGAAGGCAGCCUGCUGGACUGUAACUGACGCUGAUGCUCGAAAGUGUGGGUAUCAAACAGGAUUAGAUACCCUGGUAGUC
rnacentral:rRNA from 1 species